ensembl:lncRNA
CUUUUUCACUUUCACUUGCUGCCAGAGAGAGGAGUGGGUGUGCUUCCAAGCCGUGCGCCUUCAUCAGAUGUAUUGAGUGGAAACAAAAACUCAUGCUCAGAUCAACAGCAACUGAAGUCAACCUUGGCUUUGUCCAUCCAAGUCAUGAAAAUCUUCAGGGAUGGAGAUACCUCAACCCCCCUGGCUACCAAGCUGUUUGAUUACCUCCACCCUUGUGAGUGUCCUUCCAAGAACUGCUAGACACUGCUAAGUUUGCCCUUGCUGCCCAUUCCUUUAUUGGAGAUCGAACCUUCCGCUGGACCCUUCUCAGACUCCUGAAUUUGGCACCGUUACUUCACGUCUGACCUUAGCACAAUGCUGAGUAGAAAGGAGACGUUAUUUCUGCUGAUUUCCUGGUGAUGAAUCUCCUCAGUACUAAUUCAGUAACAAUCAGCAAAACAUUCUCAAGAAGAUGAUUUAUAGAGUUGAGUUGUGUGGAGAAAAGAAGUCUGCAUAGUAAUCAGCUUGCUUCCUUAGUUAUUCCUUGUGAUAAGACUCUUAACUGAUUUGUGGAGGUGGCAAAUGAUGGGUGCUACCAUGUGACAAUCAACAUCACUUUGACAUUUGAAAGCACCUUCCUCCAGAGCUGCUUGCCUCCGGAAGAGCGUGCUCAGGAGUGGUUACUGGAGGAAGAUCUGGCCUAAUACCCCAGCUUGGUGUGGGAAAACUGGGGAACAACACCAUCGUGCCCUGUGAAAAACAGGAUGCAGAUGGGCAUCCCUCCUUUCUCUUAUCUGCUGGCAAGGCCCGGAAGAUGAUAACAAAGGAAUUUCUGCUGAGAUCCCAGAGCCAGUAGCUGCCACUCCAAGGAGAGCUGACUCAACCACUUCGGAUUUGAGCUGUCACUCAAAAGAGAGCUGACUGGACCACUUUGGACUUAUAAAUAAGUUUGUACUGCCAUCGUCGUUGUCGUCAUCGCUGUGGUUACCAUCGUCAACAGAACACCCGACGACCCACCACUACUGAAGAUCAAUGACUGAACUAUGAACCACGUUGGACCAAGGUGUUGACUACCUCCCUCCUGCUUCCUAUACGGACUCCUUGCUUCUAUUUCCUAUCUUUUCUGUCAGCCUUCUCCCCGUCCCCAUCUCCCUGAACGACUAGGAUAAUAGUAAUAAACCGGUAGGAUCAGCAUUUGAACCGUUGUUUCUUAAUCUCAUGCCGGGUAUACACACAUCAAAGAACCUCCUCUCCCUCCGAUAAAUUGGAGAGAGACAGAGUUUCAGCCUAUGUGAACUGAAAGGUCCUGAUCUUGUUUUUAAGAAUAUUACAACAGACUGCAGAGGGCAUAUAAUGUGUGCAUUUUGCGAUAUAGUAAGUAUUAGCAAUAAUUGGCAACUCACAGGAUCACAGAAUCACAGAAUGGCCUGGGUUGGAAGGGACCUCAAGGAUCAUGAAUCUCCAACCCCCCUGCCUGGCAGGGCCACCAAGCUCCCCAUUUACUAGACCAGGUUGCCUAGGGCCCCAUCCAACCUGGCCUUGAACACCUCCAGGGACGGGGCAUCCACAACCUCUCUGGGCAGCCCGUUCCAGCACCUCACCACUCUUCUGGUAAAGAACUUCCCCCUAACAUCCAACCUAAAUCUUCCCUCUUUCAACUUAAAACUGUUCCCCCUUGUCCUGCUGUUAUCUACCCUUUCAAAGAGUUUACUCCCUUCUUGUUUAUAGGCUACUUUCAGGUACUGAAAGGCUGCAAUGACGUCACCCCGCUGCCUUCUCUUCUCCAGGCUGAAUAAGCCCAGCUUCCUAAGCCUGUCUUCGUAGGGGAGGUGCUCCAGCCCCCUGAUCAUCUUCAUGGCACUUCUCUGGACCCUCUCCAACAGCUCCCUGUCUUUCUUGUACUGGGGACUCCAUACCUGGACACAGUACUCCAGAUGGGGCCUCACAAGAGGAGAGUAGAGAUGGACAAUCACCUCCCUGUCCCUGCUGGCCCCCCCUCUCAUGAUGGAGCCCAGGAUACCAUUUGCUUUCCGAGCUGCAAGAGCACACUGCUGGCUUAUGUUAAGUUUGUCAUCCAUCAGGACCCCCAGGUCCUUCUCUGCAGAGCUGCUCUCAAGGACUGCUCCUUCCAGUCUGUAUAGACUCUCUAUUCUAGAUAGGUUCUCAAUACUAGAAAAUAAGCUUUCAAAAAUGCACCUAUGCUUUUAUUUGUAAUGUUAGUUUCCUAAAUAAAUAUUUUU